rnacentral:rRNA from 1 species
GACGAACGCUGGCGGCGUGCCUAAUACAUGCAAGUAGAACGCUGAAGGAGGAGCUUGCUUCUCUGGAUGAGUUGCGAACGGGUGAGUAACGCGUAGGUAACCUGCCUGGUAGCGGGGGAUAACUAUUGGAAACGAUAGCUAAUACCGCAUAAUAGUAGAUGUUGCAUGACAUUUGCUUAAAAGGUGCAAUUGCAUCACUACCAGAUGGACCUGCGUUGUAUUAGCUAGUUGGUGGGGUAACGGCUCACCAAGGCGACGAUACAUAGCCGACCUGAGAGGGUGUUCGCGCAAGCUGGGCCUGAGACACGGCCCAGACUCCUACAGGAGGAGGCGGUAGGGAGAGUUCGGCAAUGGACGGAGGUCUGACCGAGCGACGCCGCGUGAGUGAAGAAGGAUUUCGGAUCGUAAAGCUCUGUUGUGAGGGAAGAAAGAGUGUGAGAGUGGAAAGUUCACACUGUGACGGUAUCUUACCAGAAAGGGACGGCUAACUACGUG